GGUCCUGAGCUGAGGUGUCGUGUCGUGUCCUGAGCUGAGGUGUCGUGUCGUGUCCUGAGCUGAGGUGUCGUGUCGUGUCCUGAGCUGAGGUGUCGUGUCGUGUCCUGAGCUGAGGUGUCGUGUCGUGUCCUGAGCUGAGGUGUCGUGUCGUGUCCUGAGCUGAGGUGUCGUGUCGUGUCCUGAGCUGAGGUGUCGUGUCGUGUCCUGAGCUGAGGUGUCGUGUCGUGUCCUGAGCUGAGGUGUCGUGUCGUGUCCUGAGCUGAGGUGUCGUGUCGUGUCCUGAGCUGAGGUGUGG